rnacentral:rRNA from 1 species
UACGUAGGGUGCAAGCGUUGUCCGGAAUUAUUGGGCGUAAAGAGCUCGUAGGCGGUCUGUCGCGUCUGCUGUGAAAACUCAGGGCUUAACCCUGAGCUUGCAGUGGGUACGGGCAGACUUGAGUUCGGUAGGGGAGACUGGAAUUCCUGGUGUAGCGGUGAAAUGCGCAGAUAUCAGGAGGAACACCGGUGGCGAAGGCGGGUCUCUGGGCCGAUACUGACGCUGAGGAGCGAAAGCGUGGGGAGCGAACAGG